rfam:Triticum aestivum genome assembly, contig: Triticum_aestivum_CS42_TGACv1_scaffold_213021_3AS
CCAUUACUCAGUUGGUAGAGCACAAGGCUCUUAACCUUGUGGAUGUGGAUUCGAGCCCCAUGGUGGG